rnacentral:rRNA from 1 species
UACAGAGGUCUCAAGCGUUGUUCGGAUUCAUUGGGCGUAAAGGGCGCGUAGGCGGCGGGGUAAGUCGGGUGUGAAAUCUCAGAGCUCAACUCUGAAACUGCACUCGAUACUGCUCUGCUUGAGGACUGGAGAGGAGACUGGAAUUCACGGUGUAGCAGUGAAAUGCGUAGAUAUUGUGAGGAAGACCAGUGGCGAAGGCGGGUCUCUGGACAGUUCCUGGACGCUGAGGCGGCGAAAG